UGGGGAAUCUUGCGCAAUGGGCGAAAGCCUGACGCAGCCAUGCCGCGUGAAUGAUGAAGGUCUUAGGAUUGUAAAGUUCUUUCGCCCGUGACGAUGAUGACGGUAACGGGAGAAGAAGCCCCGGCUAACUUCGUGCCAGCAGCCGCGGUAAUACGAAGGGGGCUAGCGUUGUUCGGAAUUACUGGGCGUAAAGCGCGCGUAGGCGGUUUUGCAAGCCAGAGGUGAAAUGCCUGAGCUUAACUUAGGAAUUGCCUUUGGGACUGCGAGGCUUUGAGGACGAGAGAGGUGAGUGGAAUUCCCAGUGUAGAGGUGAAAUUCGUAGAUAUUGGGAAGAACACCGGUGGCGAAGGCGGCUCACUGGCUCGUUUCUGACGCUGUAGCGCGAAAGCGUGGGGAUCAAACA
rnacentral:rRNA from 1 species